AGGUGUAAUCAUUACGCCGAUUCUGUUGCAAAACGUUUCGUCUGUUAUUUUUUGUUGUUGCAAAAACCGUCCAUUCCAAGAGGAAAAAGCAAUCGAGAGUUCCUAUUGGACAAAAUCAGAGAAUAGAGCAGUCUUCCCCGGUUUUUAGCUGAGCCGUAGCCUGCAUCAUCCGAGCCAUGUUGGACCUGCCCAUCAAGAACACUGUCAUAGCUUGAACCAGCCAAUCACAUUCAUCGGCCAGCCAACCAAUCCUUCAAUCAGCGGCCCAUCCUAACAGACAUAAGGAGCUAAAGCUGCACCUCUACCUCACUCCUUCUUCACAACGGCGACCAGUCUAAACAAAAAUAAAUGGAUAGAAUGGAGCAGACGCUCUGCGCUAUCCCACCAAGAUCUAGCUACGACGACUACUACUCCCAGUACUUACUAGUGAUGUAGUCGAGGAACCAUUCACCGCUUGUAGAUUGAUUUGAUUGUCCGGCUUCUUUUUUGUCUUUUUCUUGCUCUUGCAGCAGCAUUUCGCACAGAUGCAGAUAAUACACACCAAAAACAUCAAGACAAUGACA